AAUUGAUGAAACGUUCCAAGACUACUUAAAAUAGAUCCACCUAACCAUGAAGCAUAACUGCGUUCAACAACAUGACCGGAAGCAUGGAUUUUAAGACGGCUGCCAGGAUAUAAUUUUGAAAGUUCAUUUUGCAGACGAAGAGAGAAUCCUUGCAUCAAACUAGUGCCUCCACAAACAAUAACAUUGUUGAGCAAAGAAGCACGGAUAUCAACAUCGCAUUCCGAAAUACAGUUCUGGAACAACUGAGGUAUCCCCAAAAUGCGAGAAGAAGUGUUGGUAACCGAAGAAUCUUGUUGUGAUACCUCAUUAUUUUCGGUUUGUUCUAUUGGCUUCGAAGGUUCCUCGUUCAUUUCUUCAUCACUUCCUGGCACAAACAAAUGUUCAGGAAUUUGAUAGCGUUCCGCGCCAAACAUCAUACGGGAACCGUCUGGAAAUUCGAACUCUGAUUCAGCAAUCGUGGUUUCAGAUGAAAAUGGAACAUCGGAAAUGAGAGCACAUUCUUCUUUCCAUUCAUCGUAGACUCGCUGGACCUGAAAUUGAUGAUAAGAAUCUGUAGUAUCACGAGGACGUAACUCACAAUUAGCUGGCUGCCCUAUCUCCACUGGAUUUUUGCUUUUCACUAAGUACUUAGGCAUCACUUCGAAAUUCUUAUCCCUGAGAGUUUGCGCCAAAAUAUCGUUAAUUGCAUUCCCAGAAAAAUGUUGAACCUGAUAGCCUUUUUGAAGCACAAAACCAUCAUAUAUAGCAGACACCGAGCUACGCUCCGCACCAAUGUCUACUAAACAAGCAGUACCUUUCCCGCUUGCAAACGCCGCACACGUCUCCUGCUUGGCGAGGUAUGUUGCAGGACAACGCAAAGAUUCAAACAUCGUUUCUAGUGUUUUCACUCGAUUUUCUGGGGGAUUAUCAAAUGGUUCCGUAAUCAAGAUUGGAUGCUCUAAAGGAUUAGUCUUCAACUGCUGCUCUAAUCCAUAACGCCAGAGAUCUACAGUAACAUCCCAAUUUUCAACCCAACCAUUACGAAUUGCAUUUUUUAUUUCCAUUCCAGGGUUUGAUUUAUAUAUGUAUUCCUCACCGAACAACCGUCUGCCAUCACUGAACUCUCCACAGUAGCUAGGGAGUACGCAUUUGGGAAUAUCUUCUCCAGAAAAACCUAUUCGAGUCCAUUUGCUUCCAGGAUCAAUUACAAUAGCUGAAACUUCAUCUCCGCCAUAAAAUGCGCUAGUCAUCUUACCAGCAGUACAGUUUGUCUACGUGAUAAGAUUCUCAGGCAAAAGUUGUCGUUGGCACUUGGACAAGACGCAUCGUUGAGAUCAUGAAAUAGGUCGCCAACGGCUUUUCUUAAAAAUACCCAUCACUCUUUCCUAUUUUAUUUAGUU